rnacentral:misc_RNA from 1 species
AAGUCGUAACAAGGUUUCCGUAGGUGAACCUGCGGAAGGAUCAUUAUUAAUACUUGGUUAACACCAGUAAUUCAUGUGCAAAACAACCUGACGCUGCCAGUACUUGUCCUGGUGUCUGCCCUCGGGUAGGCAUCAGUCAUACCUGGCAGCAGCCCUCUUUGACUUGUCAUUGUGGGCAAAUCAGGCUCUCCUCAAACUUUCGGGUAAGAGGAAGCCUGCAACUUUUAUACAUCACUCUUGAAAAUCCGUCACCAGGGAGUCGCUGCAAGGCACUACCUGCUCUGACAAUGAAAGGGUAAAAAACUUUUAGCAACGGAUCUCUAGGCUCUC